GACGAACGCUGGCGGCGUGCUUAACACAUGCAAGUCGAACGAUGAAGCUGGAGCUUGCUCCAGUGGAUUAGUGGCGAACGGGUGAGUAACACGUGAGCAAUCUGCCCUUGACUCUGGGAUAACUGCGGGAAACUGUAGCUAAUACCGGAUACGACACCUUGGGGCAUCCCGGGGUGUGGAAAGAAUUUAGGUCAAGGAUGAGCUCGCGGCCUAUCAGCUUGUUGGUGAGGUAAAGGCCCACCAAGGCGACGACGGGUAGCCGGCCUGAGAGGGUGACCGGCCACACUGGAACUGAGACACGGUCCAGACUCCUACGGGAGGCAGCAGUGGGGAAUAUUGCACAAUGGGCGAAAGCCUGAUGCAGCAACGCCGCGUGAGGGAUGACGGCCUUCGGGUUGUAAACCUCUUUUAGCAGGGAAGAAGCGAAAGUGACGGUACCUGCAGAAAAAGCACCGGCUAACUACGUGCCAGCCGCCGCCGUAA
rnacentral:rRNA from 1 species